UUGGAGGGCAAGUCUGGUGCCAGCAGCCGCGGUAAUUCCAGCUCCAAUAGCGUAUAUUAAAGUUGUUGCAGUUAAAAAGCUCGUAGUUGAAUUUCGAGACCGGCUUACUGGUCGUGCUUUUGUACGUACUGGUAUAAUCGGUUUCUCCUUUCUGACGAACUAUAAUGCCAUUAAUUUGGUGUUAUAGGGAAUCAGGACUGUUACUUUGAAAAAAUUAGAGUGUUUAAAGCAGGCUCACGCUUGAAUACAUUAGCAUGGAAUAACGGAAUAGGACGUUUGAUUCUAUUUUGUUGGUUUCUAGGAUCGACGUAAUGAUUAAUAGGGAUAGUUGGGGGCAUUAGUAUUCAAUUGUCAGAGGUGAAAUUCUUGGAUUUAUUGAAGACUAACUACUGCGAAAGCAUUUGCCAAGGAUGUUUUCAUUAAUCAAGAACGAAAGUUAGGGGAUCGAAGACGAUCAGAUACCGUCGUAGUCUUAACCAUAAACUAUGCCGACUAGGGAUCGGAUGAUGUUAAUUUUUUAAUGACUCAUUCGGCGCCUUACGGGAAACCAAAGUGUUUGGGUUC
rnacentral:rRNA from 1 species